rnacentral:rRNA from 1 species
ACUCCUACGGGAGGCAGCAGUGGGGAAUAUUGCACAAUGGGCGAAAGCCAGAUCCACCGACGCCGCGUGUGGGAUGACGGCCUUCGGGUUGUAAACGUCUUUCAGCAGGGAAUUAGCGAAGGUGACGGUACCUGCAGGAAGAAGCGCCGGCUAACUAAGUGCCAGCAGCCGCGGUAAU